rnacentral:lncRNA from 1 species
UCAAGAAUAAUAUUAAUUUUAAUAAUAUUAUUAAAAAUAAUAAUAUUAUUAAUAUUUUUACUAAUUUAAUAAUAUUAAUUAAAUAUUAUAGUUAAAUAAAAAUCUUAAUAAAUUAAAUAAAUCAAUACCUAAUUAAUUAAUUAAAUAUAUAAUUAAAAUUAAUUAAUAUAUUAAAAUAAAAAAAAUUUUAGCGACAGCAAUAGCACCAUCACUGAUACUCAUAGUGUGACAGUGCGUGUCUGAAGGUGCGGUGCUCUGAUGACUGGAUGCUUCGAUGGUUGGGUGCUUCAAAGGAGGGAGGUGGGGCUGCAAAUCCGAUCUGGCAAGGAAAAGGAUGAGAGUAAAAGAAUUAUGCCCUACAAACCAAUCACAUAUGAGAUACGAUAGGGUGUAUUUUAUAAUUUAUCUUUCAAACUCAUAUAAUUGAUAUUUAUUUUAAUAAAAUAGAUAUUUUUGAUUCAUUAUAUGCUGCAUCUUG